CAGUCGCCGCGGUAAUACGAGGGGUGCAAGCGUUAUUCGGAUUGAUUGGGUGUAAAGGGUGUGCAGACGGCUUAUUAAGUCACUUGUUAAAUUCUUCGGCCUAACUGAAGGUCUGCAAGUGAUACUGAUGAGCUAGAGGGUGGAAGAGAGAAGUGGAAUUCUCGGAGUAGCGGUAAAAUGCGUAGAUCUCGAGAGGAACACCAAUGGCGAAGGCAGCUUCUUGGUCCAUUCCUGACGUUCAUACACGAAAGCGUGGGGAGCGAACAGGAUUAGAUACCCGAGUAGUCCCUGUCUCUAUACA
rnacentral:rRNA from 1 species